rnacentral:rRNA from 1 species
UAGGGAAUCUUCGGCAAUGGGGGGAACCCUGACCGAGCAACGCCGCGUGAGUGAAGAAGGUUUUCGGAUCGUAAAGCUCUGUUGUUAAGGAAGAACGAGUGUGAGAAUGGAAAGUUCAUACUGUGACGGUACUUAACCAGAAAGGGACGGCUAACUACGUGCCAGCAGCCGCGGUAAUACGUAGGUCCCGAGCGUAGUCCGGAGUUAUUGGGCGGAAAGCGAGCGCAGGCGGUUAGAUAAGUCUGAAGUUAAAGGCCGUGGCUCAACCAUUGUAGUCUUUGGCUACUGUUUAACUUGAGUGUAGAAGGGGAGAGUGGAAUUCCAUGUUUAGCGGUGAAAUGCGUAGAUAUAUGGCGGAACACCGGUGGCGAAAGCGGCUUUCUGGUCUGUAACUGACGCUGGGGCUCGACAGCGUUGGUAGCAAACAGG